rnacentral:rRNA from 1 species
AUUGGACGCUGGCGGCAGGCUUAACACACGCAAGUCGAGCGGAGAUGAGGUGCUUGCACCUUAUCUUAGCGGCGGACGGGUGAGUAAUGCUUAGGAAUCUGCCUAUUAGUGGGGGACAACAUUCCGAAAGGAAUGCUAAUACCGCAUACGUCCUACGGGAGAAAGCAGGGGAUCUUCGGACCUUGCGCUAAUAGAUGAGCCUAAGUCGGAUUAGCUAGUUGGUGGGGUAAAGGCCUACCAAGGCGACGAUCUGUAGCGGGUCUGAGAGGAUGAUCCGCCACACUGGUACUAAGACACGGCCCAGACUCCUACGGGAGGCAGCAGUGGGGAAUAUUGGAGAAUGGGGGAAAGCCUGAUCCAGCCAUGCCGCGUGUGUGAGGAAGGCCUUAUGGUUGUAAAGCACUUUAAGCGAGGAGGAGGCUACUGAGACUAAUACUCUUGGAUAGUGGACGUUACUCGCAGAAUAAGCACCGGCUAACUCUGUGCCAGCCGCCGCCGUAA